rnacentral:rRNA from 1 species
GACGAACGCUGGCGGCGUGCUUAACACAUGCAAGUCGAACGGAAAGGCCCUGCUUUUGUGGGGUGCUCGAGUGGCGAACGGGUGAGUAACACGUGAGUAACCUGCCCUUGACUUUGGGAUAACUUCAGGAAACUGGGGCUCAUACCGGAUAGGAGCUCCUGCUGCAUGGUGGGGGUUGGAAAGUUUCGGCGGUUGGGGAUGGACUUGCGGCUUAUCAGCUUGUUGGUGGGGUAGUGGCUUACCAAGGCUUUGACGGGUAGCCGGCCUGAGAGGGUGACCGGCCACAUUGGGCCUGAGAUACGGCCCAGACUCCUACGGGAGGCAGCAGUGGGGAAUAUUGCACAAUGGGCGGAAGCCUGAUGCAGCAACGCCGCGUGCGGGAUGACGGCCUUCGGGUUGUAAACCGCUUUCGCCUGUGACGAAGCGUGAGUGACGGUAAUGGGUAAAGAAGCACCGGCUAACUACGUG